rnacentral:rRNA from 1 species
UACGUAGGUGGCAAGCGUUGUCCGGAUUUACUGGGCGUAAAGAGCGCGCAGGCGGUCGAUCAAGUCGCGUGUGAAAGCCCCCGGCUCAACUGGGGAGGGUCACGCGAUACUGAUCGACUCGAAGGCAGGAGAGGGUAGUGGAAUUCCCGGUGUAGUGGUGAAAUGCGUAGAUAUCUGGAGGAACACCGGUGGCGAAGGCGGCAUUCUGGACUACAACUGACACUGAGGAACGAAAGCCAGGGGAGCAAACGGG